UUCUUACCAAAAUCUGUACCUGAAUGUUUAUUGAGGUUUUAUUUUAUUUUUUAUUUGUUUUAAUUAGUUACACAUGACAGUACAAUGACCUUGACAUAUCGUACAUUUGAAUCAGAUGGGAGGUUUUUUUUUUUUUUAAGUUGUACAUGGACACAAUUUCUUUAUUUUAUUUAUUUUUUAUGUGGUACUAAGAAUUGAACCCAGUGCCUUGCACAUGCUAGGCAAGCGCUCUACCACUGAGCCACAAACCCAGCCCUAUGGCUGUUUUAUUUUUAAUAAUGCUUACCUGGAAGCUGCCCUGAUGUCCUUCAAUGGGUCAGAUCUUAAACUAACUGUGGUACAUCCAGACUACGGAACUACACUCAGAAAUCAGGAAGACUGAACCCCCAAUCACUUGGAUGAAGCUCAGGGAAACUACGAGAAACAAAAAUCCAGUCUCAAAAGGUUAUGUACUGAUGAUUCCAUUUAUAUUAUAUUCCUUUUUCCUGGUUCUAUCUAUUUAUUGCAUGUGAAAAACUUAAGUACAGACAUUUAAACAUUUACUUAAUUCAUUUGUAAAUAACAACACAGUCUGUUAAUUCAAAAGGCAUAUGUUUGUGAAAAAAACCAUAUUUUCCAAAACACAGGAACACAAAUAAGAAAAGUGGCAUUGUUUUGUAAUUUUCAGGUCUCUGUGAUACCUGGUUUAAUAGGAGACAGCUGAAUUUUCAUAUCUGCUUCUGCUUUUAUCUCUCACAAUAACUUUAGUUGAAGUAUGUGAAGACAGUUCAGCCCUACUUGUAUGUGUAGUUGGAAAAGAUAGAACUAUUUUAUUACCCUUUCAAAUACUCACAGAUAAUCUUGUUUGAUAUCACAUAAAAACUAUACAGUCAUAGUUUUUUAAAAGACUAGUUGCAAUUUAGAACACUUAGUUGCUUUCAUCUUUAGCUAUUAUAAAUAAUGCUGUUAUGAACAUGUAUAAAUGUCUGUACGUCCUUGCUUCCAAUUCGUUUGCAUAUAUACCUGAAGGUGAAAUUGCUACAUCAUAUGGUAAUUCUAUGUUUAAUUUUUUUAGGAACUGCCCACAGUAACCGCCCCAUCUUACAAUACCAUCAAUGGUUCAUUUAAGUAGAACAGCUCAC
rnacentral:lncRNA from 1 species